rnacentral:rRNA from 1 species
GAUGAACGCUGGCGGCGUGCCUAAUACAUGCAAGUCGAGCGAACAGACGAGGAGCUUGCUCCUCUGACGUUAGCGGCGGACGGGUGAGUAACACGUGGAUAACCUACCUAUAAGACUGGGAUAACUUCGGGAAACCGGAGCUAAUACCGGAUAAUAUAUUGAACCGCAUGGUUCAAUAGUGAAAGACGGUUUUGCUGUCACUUAUAGAUGGAUCCGCGCCGCAUUAGCUAGUUGGUAAGGUAACGGCUUACCAAGGCAACGAUGCGUAGCCGACCUGGGAGGGGGAUCGGCCACACUGGAACUGAGACACGGUCCAGACUCCUACGGGAGGCAGCAGUAGGGAAUCUUCCGCAAUGGGCGAAAGCUUGACGGAGCAACGCCGCGUGAGUGAUGAAGGUCUUCGGAUCGUAAAACUCUGUUAUUAGGGAAGAACAAAUGUGUAAGUAACUAUGCACGUCUUGACGGUACCUAAUCAGAAAGCCACGGCUAACUACGUG